UAUGUAGGGGGCUAGCGUUGUCCGGAAUCAUUGGGCGUAAAGAGCGUGUAGGCGGUCCGGUAAGUCCGCUGUGAAAGUCGGGGGCUCAACCCUCGAAUGCCGGUGGAUACUGUCGGGCUAGAGUGCGGAAGAGGCGAGUGGAAUUCCUGGUGUAGCGGUGAAAUGCGCAGAUAUCAGGAGGAACACCUAUUGCGAAGGCAGCUCGCUGGGACGUUACUGACGCUGAGACGCGAAAGCGUGGGGAGCAAACAGG
rnacentral:rRNA from 1 species